rnacentral:lncRNA from 1 species
UGGAGACCUCAUCUUUUAUCUAACCUCUCUUUUUUCCAGUACAGCGUCAUUACCAUGGAGUUUCAUCUAACAAUGCUUGUUCCAUCUGUUUCCAUUUUGUCAUGAAAAUCAAAGGAGGUAGUGGAUGUGAAAUUUUACUGAUUACAUAUAUAGGAUCCAAAUAACAUGCAGUGACAAACCUCCUGCAUAUGGCUGAAUGCUAAGCCACCAGCUACUCCUGCCCUCACAUCUCACAACUUUGCUGCAAGAAAAAACAAAACAGAACAUCUUGGCUAAAACUGCCCACCUCCUUACCCCAAGCUUGAUGCCAGCUGAAGAGUCCCAGGAGACCAGUUGGCUUAGCCCGGGUCAGAGGCCCUGGAUGGGAGUGGAUGAUUGGUAGCCAUCAUUUGCACCUGAUGGUUAGAGUGUGAGAGAAGCAGUCUUCCUGAAGAAGAGAGGUGGUGUCCUCAGAAAAGAGGAAGGGUACAAGGUUGUGAAAGCAAUAAAUGCUCACGCAAAAGAGGGUUGACCCAAGGUCUGGCCUUCUUCUUGCCACUCUCUAGUGAGGGAGCCCUUAGGAAAUUGAUUAUGCUCUCUGUCAAGCGGCAAAAAUAAAACCUGCCCC